CGGGGAUCGAACCUGCUUAUCGGUUUUUCGCGUAAAUAAGAUGUGUAUACGUUUCAUUAAUGCAGCAACUACCUUCCGGAUGGACAAUCAUUAUGGAUCUCAAAACGCAACAAAACAGCAAAUAUGAUCACUUGGCACUUUGUCGACGGGAAACCCAGUCAAGUAAACCCUGACCCUCAAGCAGCUACUGUACUGUUUGGUGUAUUUGACAAGCUUACACCGGGACCGGCCCACAUCAGCAAGACCUCAUCCAAAAAUCAGAUUUAUAUCUGAACCACCCCCAAAAAACAAGAACAGAACGGACUGAAGCUAACACCAUAGGUACAUCCUUCCAAGAAUCCAACAACACAACAUGCUGAACAACUUCAAGGACUCUCUUCAAAUGACCAUUUUCCUGAAAUAAAUAAAAGAUGCCACUAUUAAAAUAAAUCAGUUACAUGUCUUGUUAAAUAUUUUAAUUCUGGCUGUAAAUGCUACUGCAUUUGAUGUUUGCUUUCUACAUGUAUAUAAUAAUGAAAUAUUGACAAGAAAAUAGCUAACUGUAUGUUUUGUGGUUGUUGUCUUUUUUCUGGACAAAUAGUCCAUAACUUUUGUACAGCAAAGUAAAACUAAAUGUUAUAAAAA